GUUCGCAAAACACAGUUUUUCCCAGAUGGCAGCUUGCUGCAGGUUUCUUAAUACCUUGAACUGCAAGAUACCCAGUGUAGGACAUCCAGGUUCAGAGAAAAAACAAGGAGGGGAGAAGUCAUCCAAAGGCAUGGGCUCCAAAUUGGUGCAGAUUGGAAAACCACUACUUGUUCACAGGGGCUGAGUCCUGUAUGAAGCCUAGCAGCACACAGUGCAGGUCUCAAAGAUGGUCCAUACAUAACCAAUAGAAUCCAAAUAUUGAAGAUACCACUUGAUCACAAAGCUUUUUCCAGAACUGCACUCCCAGAAGGAGGGGAUGCUAUGUGAAUAAGGUUGCUAUCUGAAAGUUUUACCCCUGUUUUCUUGUCACUUUUUCCCCCCUCAAGGGUUUUUGUAACUCAAAUGAUUUCAGUCCACGCCCCAAAAAGCUGCAUUCCAGAGAGGGGAAUGCAUUCUAGGUGUGAUGUAGAUGUAGAAACAAACUGCAAAGGUGCUAAAACCAAGAAUAUUUUAAGCCAGCUUUGCUGCUAAAGGGUACUUUACACUGGAACCUUUGGUCUUAAUCUCCAGAGCCUUUGUCCAGUCUGUUUUCUCUCAUUUUCCCUCUGCUAUGCUAUAAAGGUCACUCUGGCAAAAAGUUUAUCAGUAUGUGUAACAGCUGCUUUAUUUGGGAACGUUGGCAUGAAUUUCUCCCAUUUUGGUGUAUCAUAAGUUAGCCGUUUGCAUUUUCCAGCACUGAUAAGUACGG